UUUCCCGCCCCGCCCCCCCCCCCGGCAGGGAUGUCCCCCGCCAUGGCGACGGACGGGCCCGCGCUGGCUGAGCUGCUGCUGCAGCGGCUGGAGCGGGCGGGGGGCGGCGGCCUGGGCAGCCUGGAGGCGGCCGCGGCGCUGGGCCUGGAGCACCAGCAGCUGGUGGGGGCCGUGAAGAGCCUGCAGGCGCUGGGGGAGGUCAUCGAGGCUGAGCAGCGAUCCUCUAAACGCUGGGAGCUGACGCCCGAGGGGAAGGAGAUCGUCCAGGAGGGAAGCCACGAGGCCCGUGUCUUUGACAGCAUCCCUGCCGAAGGGCUGCCGCAGAGCGAGCUGAUGAAACUGCCGAGUGGGAAAGUGGGGUUCAGCAAGGCCAUGUCCAGCAAGUGGGUGCGGCUGGACAAGAACGCGGACGGGGGUCCACGCGUCUUCCGGGCUGUGGAGAGCGUGCAGGACUCGGUGCGGGAGAAGCUGCAGCUGGUGCAGCAGGGAGAGGCUGAGAGCCUGGAGGAGAAAGACAGGAACGAACUGAAGAAGCGGAAACUCCUGAUGGAAGUGAUCAUCAAGACCUACUGGAUCCGGAAAGGCAGCGCCUUCAGCACCACGGUCACCAGGCAGGAGACGGACCUCACUCCGGAGAUGCUCGCCAGCGGCUCGUGGCGUGACCUGAAGUUCAAGCCGUACAACUUCGAGGCGCUGGGGAUCAUGCCCGAGAGCGGGCACCUCCACCCGCUGCUCAAGGUCCGCACCCAGUUCAGACAGAUCUUCCUCGAGAUGGGGUUCACAGAGAUGCCCACCAAUAACUUCAUCGAGAGCUCCUUCUGGAACUUCGACGCCCUCUUCCAGCCGCAGCAGCACCCGGCCCGCGACCAGCACGACACCUUCUUCCUGCAGGAUCCGGCCGAAGCCACGGACUUCCCCAUGGACUAUCUGAAGAGAGUGAAGAAGAUCCACUCGCAAGGAGGCUACGGCUCCCAGGGGUACAAAUACGACUGGAAGCUGGAGGAGGCGCGGAAGAACCUCCUGCGGACGCACACCACGGCCGUCAGCGCCCGCAUGCUCUACCGGCUGGCCCAGCAGGAGAAGUUCACCCCAGCCAAGUAUUUCUCCAUUGACCGGGUCUUCCGGAACGAGACGCUGGACGCCACCCACCUGGCCGAGUUCCACCAGAUCGAGGGGGUGGUGGCCGACUACGGCCUGACGCUGGGGGACCUCAUGGGCACCCUCAGGGAGUUCUUCACCAAGCUGGGGAUCAGCCAGCUGCGUUUCAAGCCGGCCUACAACCCCUACACGGAGCCCAGCAUGGAGGUGUUCAGCUACCACCGAGGGCUCCAGAAGUGGGUGGAGGUGGGUAAUUCGGGGAUCUUCCGCCCGGAGAUGCUGCUGCCGAUGGGGCUGCCGGAGGGCGUGUCGGUCAUCGCCUGGGGCCUCUCUCUGGAGCGCCCCACCAUGAUCAAAUACGGCAUCAACAACAUCCGGGAGCUGGUCGGGCACAAGGUGAACCUGCAGAUGGUGUACGACGGCCCCCUCUGCCGCCUGGACGCGUAGCCCCCCGGCCCCCUCUGCCGCCUGGACGCGUAGGCCCCCGGGACCCCUCUGCCCCCUGGACGCGUAGGCCCCCGGCCCCCUCUGCCGCCUGGACGCGUAGGCGCCGGCCCCGCCCCAUAGCUAUUAGUGUCGGCUCCGGGGGCUCCCCCCCUUCCUGGGCAGACGGCUGGCGGGGCACCCCCGGCCCCCUUCCGUCCAGGCCCCAGCUCUGCCCUCCCCGCUGGGGGACGCGGCCGAGUGGCCCGGGCCGGCGCCUGCAGCCUGUGGCGCCCCAAUAAAGGGCUGGUGUCUGGG